rnacentral:rRNA from 1 species
AUUGAACGCUGGCGGCAUGCCUUACACAUGCAAGUCGAACGGCAGCACGGGAGCAAUCCUGGUGGCGAGUGGCGAACGGGUGAGUAAUAUAUCGGAACGUGCCCAGUCGUGGGGGAUAACGCAGCGAAAGCUGUGCUAAUACCGCAUACGAUCUAUGGAUGAAAGCGGGGGAUCGCAAGACCUCGCGCGAUUGGAGCGGCCGAUAUCAGAUUAGCUAGUUGGUGAGGUAAAGGCGCACCAAGGCGACGAUCUGUAGCUGGUCUGAGAGGACGACCAGCCACACUGGAACUGAGACACGGUCCAGACUCCUACGGGAGGCAGCAGUGGGGAAUUUUGGACAAUGGGCGAAAGCCUGAUCCAGCAAUGCCGCGUGCAGGAUGAAGGCCUUCGGGUUGUAAACUGCUUUUGUACGGAACGAAACGGUGAGCUCUAAUACAGUUUGCUAAUGACGGUACCGUAAGAAUAAGCACCGGCUAACUACGUGCCAGCAGCCGCCGUAA